UCACUGAAGACGACAUGCAUGUAAACAAUGCAGCAUUCUGCAACGUGAUCAAUUGCUUGUGUAAGGAAGGGUUCUUUCAUGAAGUGUUUAAUAUUGCUGAAGACAUGCCUCAGGGUAAAAGUGUGGUUCAGGAUUUUGUAUAUGCGCAAAUGAUAGAUUCUCUGUGUAGAUUCGGGAGGUAUAAUGGGGCUGCUCGGAUAGUUUAUAUGAUUAGAAAACGAGGAUUCGAUCCAAG
rnacentral:misc_RNA from 1 species